CUCCUCUAUUUUUUAGGGUUUUGAUCUCAAAACCCUAAAAGUGGCCAUUUUUAGAGGGGAAGAUUUUGCCCUUGGAUUUCGUGAAGGAGGGCACCACAAGAGGGAGUGAGUCAUGGACAGGAAAUGGAUGUACAAGAUAUCAAGGUUGGAUCCAAUUUACAUUGAACAUGUGACAGUUUAUUUUUGAUGCCAAAAGUCAUCAUCUGAGUCUGAAGCGGGAACUCACCAUCUGUCCAUUUUUGCCAAGGAUUACACCAUCCGGAAGUUUCAUGGCGAAGCAAAGGAUUCGAGUGAAGGUGCAUCUGAUAGACGAGGGAAUUCGUCUAACAUGCAUGAAUGUAUGUUUGUCAUCUAUUUGCUGCUACAUCUAUAUUUUUAUUAGCAAAAUUUGAAUUCAAAUUUAAAAAA